UAGGGAAUCUUCCACAAUGGGCGCAAGCCUGAUGGAGCAACACCGCGUGAGUGAAGAAGGGUUUCGGCUCGUAAAGCUCUGUUGUUAAGGAAGAACACGUAUGAGAGUAACUGUUCAUUACGUUGACGGUAUUUAACCAGAAAGUCACGGCUAACUACGUGCCAG
rnacentral:rRNA from 1 species